rnacentral:rRNA from 1 species
GACGAACGCUGGCGGCGUGCUUAACACAUGCAAGUCGAACGAAGAGCGAUGGAAGCUUGCUUCUAUCAAUCUUAGUGGCGAACGGGUGAGUAACGCGUAAUCAACCUGCCCUUCAGAGGGGGACAACAGUUGGAAACGACUGCUAAUACCGCAUACGAUCUAAUCUCGGCAUCGAGGAUAGAUGAAAGGUGGCCUCUACAUGUAAGCUAUCACUGAAGGAGGGGAUUGCGUCUGAUUAGCUAGUUGGAGGGGUAACGGCCCACCAAGGCGAUGAUCAGUAGCCGGUCUGAGAGGAUGAACGGCCACAUUGGGACUGAGACACGGCCCAGACUCCUACGGGAGGCAGCAGUGGGGAAUCUUCCGCAAUGGACGAAAGUCUGACGGAGCAACGCCGCGUGAGUGAUGACGGCCUUCGGGUUGUAAAGCUCUGUUAAUCGGGACGAAAGGCCUUCCUGCGAAUAGUGAGAAGGAUUGACGGUACCGGAAUAGAAAGCCACGGCUAACUACGU